CCUACGGGUGGCAGCAGUGGGGAAUAUUGCACAAUGGGGGAAACCCUGAUGCAGCGACGCCGCGUGAGUGAAGAAGUAAUUCGUUAUGUAAAGUACUAUCAGCAGGGAAGAAAAUGACGGUACCUGAGUAAGAAGCCCUGGCCAACUACGUGCCAGCAGCCGCGGUAAUACGGAGGGGGCACGCGUUAACCGGAAUUACUGGGUGUAAAGGGAGCGUAGACGGCAGUGCAAGUCUGGAGUGAAAGGCGCGGGCUCAACCCCCGGAGUGCUCCGGAUACUGUACAGCUGGAGUGCAGUAGAGGUGAGUAGAAUUCCAAGUGUAGCGGUGAAAUGCGUAGAGAUUAGGAGGAACACCAGUGGCGAAGGCGGCUUACUGGACUAUAACUGACGUUGAGGCGCGAAAGCGUGGGGAGCAAACAGGAUUAGAUACCCCAGUAGUC
rnacentral:rRNA from 1 species